CUGGGAGCUACGGCCUGGAACAAGGCCCUCACGAUGACUCUGACUGGUGUCCUUUCCUGCUGUGGCUGAGCUGGUUGCUCCCUGGGGUUGUGGGACAGGUGGUGCAGGCAGGCACUCCCUUAGUUGCCCUAACUGGUGCCUCAGUAGGUCACAUGCCCCCUAAGUUCACUGGCUCUGAGCCCAGUUCUGCCCUAGGACUCACACAGAAGUUGCAGUCCUUGUGGAUCUUAGCUUAUAUAAGGAAUAAAGAGACAGUAUCCUACUGUUCUUUGAUUUAUCUGGUACAGAUAUACAGACUGUUUAUGAAAUGAAUAGUGAUAAUAAUGACAGUAAGAGUUUUUACUUAUUGAUCACGUAUGUGCCAGGCUCUGUCACAGAUACUUUACCUAACAUAUUUCUAGUCCUUACUAUAACAGCAUGAGGUAGGAAUACUGCCCUGGCAAGUGGGAGUCCAUUAUGUAUCGGUAUGGACUUGGCUGCAUAUGACUGCUUUCAAUCUCAGUGGGUCCUGUUACUAAGCCUUAACUUUCUGCUUAUUUACUUUGAUGGAGAGCUAGAGGCUAGAGAAUUAAUGUGGAGGGUUAUUGUGUUCACUAAUUUAUUGAUUAAUUUAACAAAUGUUUAUGAAGUUCCUACAGUCUUAAAGAUUCUGAGAUAGACUUUGAAGUCUCAAAACAAGAGGCAGAAUGGUAAAGAAAUACGUGCUUUAGACAAUGUCUGCUAUUCACUAGUUCUGGGACCUUGGGCAACCUUCUGAAUACCUGCAUUUCAGUCUCUUCUUCUGUGCCAUGGGAGUCAUAACUAUCCAACGAGGUUAUGGUAUAGAACAGUGGUUCUCACCUGGAACAAUUUUGCCUUCCAUGGGGCGUUUGGCAACAUCCAGAAACAGUUUUGCUUGUCACAAAUGGGGAACAGAAGCUACCACAAAGCA
rnacentral:lncRNA from 1 species